AAGGCUGGAUAAAUACUGCAGUGACAUUGGCGAUAAUUUAGGAAAUGGUUUGAAUUCUGCCAGUUCUGCUGCACCAGUCAAUGUCCCCAGCGUUCCAAAGUCCCACUUUGCUUCCACACCUCCCGUCUGCAGCCAA